GGAAGGUCCGGGCGUUAUCCGGAUUUAUUGGGUUUAAAGGGAGCGUAGGCCGGAGAUUAAGCGUGUUGUGAAAUGUAGAUGCUCAACAUCUGCACUGCAGCGCGAACUGGUUUCCUUGAGUACGCACAAAGUGGGCGGAAUUCGUGGUGUAGCGGUGAAAUGCUUAGAUAUCACGAAGAACUCCGAUUGCGAAGGCAGCUCACUGGAGCGCAACUGACGCUGAAGCUCGAAAGUGCGGGUAUCGAACAGGAUUAGAUACUCUGGUAGUCCGCACGGUAAACGAUGGAUGCCCGCUGUUGGUCUGAAUAGGUCAGCGGCCAAGCGAAAGCAUUAAGCAUCCCACCUGGGGAGUACGCCGGCAACGGUGAAACUCAAAGG
rnacentral:rRNA from 1 species